GGCGCCAUAGUGUAGUGGCUAUCACAACGGAUUCUGACUUUCUUUUCAACUGUUGACUUCCGUUAACCCAGGUUCGAACCCUGGUGGCGCCU